rnacentral:rRNA from 1 species
UACGGGAGCAGCAGUGGGGAAUAUUGGACAAUGGGCGGAAGCCUGAUCCAGCAAUUCCGCGUGGGUGAAGAAGGUCUUCGGAUUGUAAAGCCCUUUCGACAGGGACGAUGAUGACGGUACCUGUAGAAGAAGCCCCGGCUAACUUCGUGCCAGCAGCCGCGGUAAUACGAAGGGGGCUAGCGUUGCUCGGAAUUACUGGGCGUAAAGGGCGCGUAGGCGGCUCUGUAAGUCAGGCGUGAAAUUCCCGGGCUCAACCUGGGGACUGCGCUUGAGACUGUGGGGCCAGAGGAUGGAAGAGGGUCGUGGAAUUCCCAGUGUAGAGGUGAAAUUCGUAGAUAUUGGGAAGAACACCGGUGGCGAAGGCGGCGACCUGGUCCAUUACUGACGCUGAGGCGCGACAGCGUGGGGAGCAAACAGGAUUAGAUACCCUGGUAGUCCACGCCGUAAACGAUGUGCGCUGGAUGUUGGGGCCCUUAGGGUCUCAGUGUCGUAGCUAACGCGGUAAGCGCACCGCCUGGGGAGUACGGCCGCAAGGUUGAAACUCAAAUGAAUUGACGGGAAGGGC